rnacentral:lncRNA from 1 species
CUUGGAGCUCCUAUACCAGUUCUUGGCUGGGAUGUUUUCAGGUUGGGCCCGGAUACAGGUUUCGCCAGUAGAGAAAUCACAGUAUACUUUGAUAGCAUCCAUAGUGCAUCCUUGGUUAGGGUCAAUCCAGUAGUAACCUUUUAAGAAAAUAACCACUGCUCCACUCUGGGUGGCUGAGUCUCAAGUCACGGCAUGUGCGAGCUGGGUUCUUUCUAGAGCCUUCAGGAGUAAGAAGGGUCUCAAUCUGGUUGUUGAGAGACUUCAGAGUAGCAUCAACUUCAUAGUCCUUGGGUCUGAGAGAAGGUGCUGAGCGAGGCUGGUCAGCCCUGUAGAAGUCUCCAUCGUAACCAAAGUCAUAACCACCACCGCUUACACCUGGAGGUCCAGGAGGGCCAGGGGGACCAGGGGGGCCCUGCAAAGGUGAAAGUGAGAUAGGAGAGGCUUUAUAUUUUGUUACAGUGAGAGACAUCCAUGGCAGCAGAUUUUCAGUUGAGCUUCACACGGAAGCAUGUUCUCAUCAGUAAAAAAUAAUCAAGUUCACAUAAAUAAAUAACGAGCCCCCAGGCACACUUGCAGGGAUGGACUUAACAAGCCCAUUGCAUAUAGACAAUUUCCAGAUAUUUUAGAGGAUAUAUUGAAAUGGGGCUAACUUUAAUGGGUUGUCAAAGUUGUCUUGGUUUAGUCUGAAGAAAACAUUCCUUAGGUCCGUGAUCUUCUUUAUUAUUUCCCCAAAUCAUACUUACAGCAGGGCCUUGGUGACCCUGAGGGCCUCGAAUGCCAGCAGGUCCAACUGUACCAGGAUGUCCAGUGCGACCAUCUUUUCCAGCAGGGCCAGAAGGACCAGCAGGGCCCUAAGGAAGACAGACACCAGGUACAUGUGAGCUGGUGAAUCCCACCAAGGGAGCAGCAGCCUGGGGCUCACUGCUCGCUUUAGCCUCUAUUUCAGAGAUGAACUGUCUUCUCUUGAGUCCACCUACCCUAGGACCAGCAGGACCCACGGAGCCAGGAGCACCUUGAUCACCAUGGUGACCCUUUAAAGACAGAAGAGGAAAAUCACACUUUCAGAGCACAUGUCAAGAGACAUAUUUUUUUUUUUUUUCCAAAUUGAAUGGGAAACUUUAGUUAAAUGGACUCCGGAUUGAGAAAAUUGAAAAUGUAAAGUGGGGCUCUUUUCUCCCAUUAUGUCUAUUAUAUUCAAUUUUUUUUUCACAACCUAUUUCAGCAGUGCAAUAUUAGUCAUUCCUCUAAUUAUGUUUAUUUUAAGUGGGGUUGAAGGACAUUGUUACCAGGAGAUUUUAUUGUAUGUCUAUUUCUAUCUCCCUUAAUCCUCACCUUUCAUGUUGGUAUGAAAUAGCAUUACCUCCAAGAGUGAGAUGGAGUUAGCCAGAGAAUGGGAAAUGGAUAUUAUAUAGGCUAUACUGGAACAAUAGCAGUGAAAAUAUGAAAAUCCUUCUGAGCUGAAGGCCUUCAGGAUCAGUUUAUGUGCGAGAUGGCUACAGUUUACUUACAGCGAUACCAGGCAGACCUUGCAAUCCAUUGUGUCCCUUUAAGCCAGGAAGACCUCUGGGCCCCUUUUCACCGGGCUCUCCCUUAUCGCCACGAAUGCCUUGUGGGCCCUAUAAAGAAACAGAAGGAUGGAUAAGACUUACCGUUUUAAAAAAAUGGCACUCACUUCACCACAAAUACUGCUUAAUUCGUUUACAAAGGUAACUCAGGACAUGUAAUGGUUUAGCUAGGCUCUCACCUCUGCUGGUAAUCUGCUUUAGUUGUGCUAUCUGUAAAGUGGCUAGAUCCUUGUAAUUGUUUAAUACAAACAAGCAUAAGAGAUUUAAAAUAGCUCAAGUUAUUUGUAUCAAUUCUCAGCAUGGACUGAAAUUUUUAAAAAAUAUUAAGUCUAGCUGAUAUAUUGUUUAUUUUCUUAACAGAUGUUUUGGACUGAUUCUCUCUAAAUGUUAGUGUUGCAAAGAAAUCUUCAGCAUGUACAUACACUAGGACCUCUUGGGCCAACAGCACCAGCAGGACCAACAGGACCAGAAGGACCCUGUGAAAUGAAAAAGAAAAACACAACUUAGCUAGGCCCAAGAUACCCCUCCCCACUCCUCCACCAUCCCCAAGUGUGGGGAAGUCAGAAGUGAAGCCCACGAGAAUGCUGCACUGAGGGACUGGUAUUCACAAACUUACAGUUUCACCACGGUUUCCAUGUUUGCCAGCAGGACCCACGGGGCCAUGAGGACCAGGUGCACCUGCAGCACCAACGGGACCAAUAUUGCCAGGGUAACCGCGCUCUCCCUACCAAAGGCAAAAUGAAGCUUAGCAUCAAUCUGGGUUGCAUUUUAAUCACUUUUGAAUUAGAGAAAGAUGAAAAGUGUACUGACCUUGUGUCCGGGUUGACCAUCGCGACCUGGGGGACCAUCGUUCCCAGGGUUGCCCUGUGAAGACACCACACAAAUUAAGGCUGUUGGUGAGGCUCUGCUGCCUACCAGCCCCUAUGUUGUAGCUACUCUGUCUUCAUCACUUCCAGUGCUCAGUAACGAACCCUCUUUCAGACUGUUAAAACUAGGGAUAAAAACCUGCCAACCUAGAUAUUUUUUAGAGAUGUUUUAAAUACUUGGGCCCAGUUUUGCAGUGUGCUAUUGAAAAGCCCAUUCUUUGGCCUAAGCAAUUUUCAUAUUUUCAGUACUAGGUGUAGAUACUAUGGAGAAGCUGACCAUCUUGUUCAGAAAUUUGGAAGAAGAGAACCUCAGCUCAGGACAUAAAGUUUCACACAAUGAAAUCCUGCUCAGUUUUAUUUUACAAACCAAGUGUUGGACUCACAUCACGACCAGCUUCACCAGGAGCACCGUUGACUCCAGGACUACCCACAGCACCAGGAGGACCACGGGCCCCAGGAGGGCCGGCAAUGCCAAGAGGACCAGGUUCACCCUAAACAGGCAGAGAAGAUAAAAUGACAUUCCCCUUAUUCGAUGGAAUGCUAACCUUCCCCUCCAAAACAACCCUACUCAGGAGAUUCUAGUUUGAAGGAAGAAGGUAAAUUGAAUGUGAAUGGGUCACACAAUGGUAAGAAGUAUCAUUAGUAUCAUCUCUGCCCUCCUUCUCCACAUGUAGAUGGCCAGCUUUAUGUAAUCACGGGAUGUUGCUCUGUAAAAAGUGAGCCUCGUGUCAUUCAGUAUCCCAAAUGAAAUGAAUUCAAAAAGUUGAUAUAUUUUAUGGAGAUGAGAUGGUUUCUAGUUGUUGUCACGUAUAAGGUUUAAUGGAACGAUUCAGAACUUCCAGAGUUUCAUUCUUCCUACAGGAUAAAUGAUGCCAGCAUUUCAUAUUGCAGAGGAGUAAACGCAAUUAGAGAUUGUAUCAUUCCUAAGUGCGUGGAAAGAACAAAAAUCAUUCUGCAUAAUUUUAAGCUGUGUCUUUAUAGUGUGUGUCUAAGUAAGGUGGUAUUAAAGCUUCUUAGAUAAGUGACAUGUGAUCUGUAUAAAGAAAAUGCCAUGAAUAAAAAUCUUAAGUGAAGUUAUUCAGUGAUCAAUCUGUCACAUUUGAAGUGGCAGCUUUUAAAAUCUUUUCUUAUGUUAAUGGAGUCAGAAUACUGUCAAGCACUCACCACAGCACCAGCAACACCUGGUAGACCACGUUCACCUCUCGAGCCAGGGAGACCCAGAAUACCAGGAGCACCAAGAAGACCCUGAGGACCUGGAGUGCCAGGAGGUCCCUAAAUAGAGAAAAAAUACUGAGUAUUAUGGGUAAGACCCUAGGUGAUAACACAGGUUGGCUUGAAGAUUGUGAGAAUAAACUGUCUUCAGCUUAGAAAAAGGCUAAUGACCUCCUAUUACUAGGACAUAUCCUUGGAUAUCUUUUCUCUAGUGAUGACGGUGAGUUUACAUCUUGGCAUGAAUACUUUUGUAUCUGAUUCAUCCUUGAGACCAAUGGCACAACAUUUAAAAAUAUGUGGUUGAGAUUUAUAAAGACACUUGGGGUGGUGAAAUAGAGUUUUUAUAGCCUCUAGGCAGGGAAACAAAUAAAAAAAUUUAAAUUGUUAUGGAUACAUAAUAGUUGUACAUAGUAGGAGGGGUUCCUCAAAAAACUAAAAAUAGAACUACCAUAAGAUCCAGCAAUCACACUGCUGGGUAUAUACACAAAGGAAAGGAAAUCAGGCUGGGUGGGGUGGCUCACAUGUGUAAUCCCAGCACUUUAGGAGGUCAAGGUGGGUGGAUCACCUGAGGUCAGGAGAUCGAGACCAGCCUGACCAAUAUGGUGAAACCCCGUCUUUACUAAAAAUACAAAAAUUAGCUAGGCAUGAUGGUGUGUGCCUGUAGUCCCAGCUACUCGGGAGGCUGAGACAAGAUAAUUACUUAAACUGGGGAGGCGGAAGUCGCAGUGAGCUGAGAUCGUGCCACUGCACUCCAGCCUGGGCAACAGAGGGGAACUCCAUCCCAAAACAAAAAAACAAAAACAAAAACAAAAAACAAAAACAAAAAGGAAAUCAGUAAAAUCAGUAUAUCAAAAGGAAGCAAAUUUUGACUUUGGCCUCUAAGGUCUAAUAGGGGCACCUUUCAGAGUAGCACUAAUACUGGACAGUGUAUGUUUAAGAAAUUGGUAGCCUACUGAGAUUGAUUAAUAUGUAGUAGGAUGGCCACAGCAAUGGGACUCUGUUCUAAUCCUGGUACCAGUAAGGUGCCUUCAAUAGCUUUAAGGGCUUUGUGAUAAAACUGAGUUCCCUCAUUUAUUGUCUUCCCGAUUUUGUGCUUUCUGAGCAUCUUGGAAGCCACAGCCCCUCAGUGUGUGCUGGACAGAUUUCCUGGCUCAACUGAGCUCUACUUGAGAGCCUGCAAUACUCAUCAACAAAUAGAUGCCACUUGAAGAUUUGUGUAGGGGCUUUAUUUUAAUUCAGCAUAAGGUAUUAAGAAAGAGGAGUUGGAAAUCACUUACAGCAGUACCAGCCUCUCCAGAGGGACCCUUCUCACCAGCGAAGCCAGGGGGACCAACUGCACCUACUUCUCCAGUUCGGCCAACUGGACCUUGGUCACCACGAGGACCACGAAGCCCUUCUUUCCCAGCAGGACCAGGGGGACCAGGAGGGCCAGAAAUACCCUAUGAGCAAAUGUACAAGGUCAUUUCCUUUCUGUUAAUCACCAAGGGCCUGGAAGAGAGCAGCAAAGAUUCUAGAUCUUAAGAUGCAAACAAUGUGAUGCAAUAAAAUAAUACCCUGGCCAUUUGGGGGAAAUAUUUAUAGUUUUUAACCUUCUUUCUUGCAGAAAGAAGCAACUCCUGUCUUCCUUUAUGAGGCUGUAACCAACCAAAUAAUGGAGGAGAGACUAUGGCAAAUUUCUAUGAGGAAAAACAAUGUCAUGCCACUGGUACCCUGGCAUAUUGGAAUCAGAACUAUGUAGAAUGAUAGGAGUUAAUGAUAAAUGAAUGGGACUCUGAGUUUCGAAGGACUUUGCCUUUUCUUUUUUCUUCUUUUUUUUUUUUUUUAAAGAAAGCCAAUAUACGUGUUUUGUUCAUAAUUGAGGAAUCCCACACACUUCUCAACUAGGUUUAAUUAAAUGCCUACAGGGAAUGAAGAUUUUUCUGUUAUGAACCUGUAAAAGGAUUCCAAGAAAUCAACAUCUUUGCUAUUUUUUUUUCCCAGAAACCUUAACCAGAAGACUUAAUCCUUGGUAAUUAAUUAAAUUUUCUUGAGUCCUGACAGGAGAGUCUGAAUCAGAAUUAAAUUAGAGGCCAAACCACCUUUAAAUUCAGGAACAAUUAUACCUUAACAAUGGAGGCAGAAUGUUAGCCAUAAAGGAUAAUUAGAUAUAGAAAUAUCUGAUAUGUGGCUAAAACUGUUCGUUUUUUUGUUUUUUUUUUUUCAAAAAGACCAUGCCCCUGAAAGGGGACUGGUGUUCACAUGAAUAAAAGCCUCUUAAACUGAUAUUAUAAAAUAUAACUUGUGAUGAAAUACCUUAAUGGUUCAGAAAAGCUGACUUCAGACCAGGAGAGUAAUAGCGAAUAUUAGUGAUGUGUUUUCAUGAAGAGUUUCUUACCAGUUUCCUAUCAGAAGCCAGGCCUUUUGGCUAGAGUAAAUGAAGACACGUUUACAGUGAUUUACUUACAGAGGGUCCUGGGGGACCAGUCCGUCCAGCAGCACCAGGGAAACCAGUCAUACCCUAAGAGCCAAGCACAUUAGAAUUCCACAGUCAACAUCAACUCCAAGAAUUUGGGUAAGAUGGGAAUUUCUUUGUUUUGGAAAAUCAGUACAUGUGACCAGGAAUAGACCAAGGAGUAGGAGGUAGGCAGCUUCAUAUAGGGCAUUAUUUAGCCAGGACCCUGAAGGCCCUCCUUCUCCACACAUCUUCCUUACCAGCAUAUUACCAGUUGCAAUGCCCAUAUUUUGCGUUAAGGUUUGGAUGGUCCUUUCUGAAAUGCUGACAUAUUAUCUUAUGGUUGUAAAGGUAUGAAGAUAAGACACUAUGUCAUUAUUACACAUUAAUGUGUAUACAUUAAUAACUAUCUUUACCACCUGGCUGAGUGGUAAGGAAAUGGACACUUAAUAGGUAAUGGUGUUCAUGGACAAAAGAAUAACAAAUGACCUAGAUAAUUCAGCACUGUCCAGUGAGAGAAGAAGUCAGUAAAGUUCAUUUUUGGGGAGCUCUGGGUCUCUAGAGAAUUGUUGUGAUAGCAUUGCCUGCAAAGGAGAAGGACAUGGUCAGGCAGAAGAAGGGGCAUAUUAAUAAACGCCAAAAGGAAUAUUUUUUCCGACUUUACAAUUAAACUGCCUAGGGCCCACCUUGGUUAUUACCUCAAGUGAGCUGAUAGCAACAUACACUGAGUUCCAGCUGAGUUCAAGUUAACAUCAAUAUCGGAAUUGCUCUGAAUAGAAUGAACUUGAAUCUCAAAAGUUUCCUCAUGGUAGUCCAAAUUUACCAAAAAUUUCAAAACUUUCAAGUGUCCUUAAUAGAUUCUGAAAAAAGAAAAGCGGCGAGAGUCCAUUGUAAAUACUCACAGGGGGGCCUCCAUCACCACGACUUCCAGCAGGACCGGGGGGACCAUUUGGACCCUAAAUGCAAACAAAAAGAUGGAGUCAAAUCACAAACAAACCCUUGUAAAUGCUACUCUUUUCUUCAAGUGGAUCAUUCCCGCAUCUCUUAGAAGAAAAUAUAGAAAUAAAAAAUGACUAUCUGUGUCAGAAUGUUCUUCAAUAUUACCACCCUUAUGAGGUUAUCAGAGAAUUAAAAUAAAACAAUAUUCAUGAAACUUUUAUACUUUGUAAAGCAGUGUGCAAAUGUUAAUCCUUCCGUUAUUUUCCAUCUUCUAUCUGGUAUAUUCCCUGUUGCAUAGCAGGCACUUGACGGAUAUAUAUUUAAUUGGAAGAUCUAAUGGGUAGCUGCUGUGUGGACCACCAGUGAAUUCAACUUACAGCUGGGCCAGCAGCUCCAACGGGGCCUGUGGGACCAACAACACCGUUUUCACCCUUAGGCCCUUUGGCUCCUCUUUCUCCUUUAGCACCAGGUUGACCAGCAGCACCCUGUUGGAAAUAAACAGUUACAGCUCUGGUAUUCCGACCCACUCUACUCCCCAACUUAGGAUGUUUUCAGAUUAAUCUUCAUUAUGUGAUACUCACAGCAGGACCAGCAAAUCCAUUGGGGCCAGCAGGACCGACCUCACCACGUUCACCCUAGGUGGGAGAAGGGAUUUAAAAAUGUGUUAUCAAUCCUAGGUUCAUCAAUGUCUAAACAUUGUGAGGUGUGAGUAUACAAAAUGACCCAGGUUCUUACUUACAGGGCUUCCCCGAGGACCAGCAGGACCAGCAGGACCAGCAGCCCCAGCUUCGCCCUAUAAUGGGACCAAAGAUGAAUCUGUUAAUGUGCCUGACAUAGAUGCUCAAAGAACUGGGAGGGAGAGAGAACAGUGGUGGACAGACAGAGUCUGUAGUUGCCUUGGAAGAGAUAACUGACGCACAUCUCACAGAGUAAAAUGAAGUGGAUUUUUACUUAAUGCUAUAUUCAUUUUGGGGGUUAAGUAGUAUGGGUUAUACACUUGAGAAAACACUAUAAAUCAGUGCCUACAAUACCAGGAGGAGGACAUUUUAAUUUUUAGAUGGACACGGGGCUGAUCUAUUUGUGGCAAUCUUUGCAAUACAAUAAAUAAGAUCUAUUUUAAGUGGAGAGUUCAAUGUGAAAUGGGCACACUAUGUAUUUUAUUGAUUUUUUGGUAAUAAUUGAAGGCUUUGAGAAGCCUCAGUGCAUUAGGAUAUUGUUAAUGCGCAACAUGGAGAGACUUUAAAACAAAUGCUAGGGAUUAGAGUAUAGAUCAGAUAGCUGGCAAAUCUAUAGGAAGGGAAAAGUAAUUUUAAACACACAGCAUUUGUUUCCUGCUGCUCUAUCACAAUAGCUAGGUUUUUAAAUAAGUAGGCUUUAUACCAAGCCAUAAAAAUGAAUUGCUGGGGCUCUUUGGGACUAGGGAAGGCGGGAAAUUUUAGAUAUUGCUGUUGGCUUAGUGAAAAUGCAUGCUUACCCGGUCACCUGUGGCUCCAGCAGGACCAGGGGCACCUACAGCACCAGGAGCACCCUAGUACCAAAAAGGAAACAUGUCUUAUUAAUAACACCCCGUAUCAUCAAAAGUGAACCUUGUCAUUCUUUUUUUCUGUGCUUAUACAGUGACUGAACACUUUCACUGCACUCUGGUUGGAUAUCUAGAAGGCCUCUGAUGUAUUUUGGUUCUAAUUAACAAGACUAUUAGAAGCCACUCUCAGAAGGAGGGUACUCCAGUAAUAAAGGUUAUGGAAAUGUGUAAGUCAAUAGCAGGUCAGAAAUUUGGGAGAUCUGAACUUUCCGCUAUUGUAAAAUUCCCUGGAGAGCAGCAAAUGAGUAGCCUUGUUUGAAACUGUUAGAACUACGUGAUUCAAAAGAAAGACUAUUACAGAUGUGCUACAGUCAGUUUUCAGCUCUGAAGGAGAGGUGAAUAAAGGAAUCCAGGCCGACUGUGGCCUAGAAGACCCAUGAGGCUGACAUACGAGAUAAGGUAAUUAGACUGUCAUGGGAUUAUCUUUGGCAUCUUCAUGGCAUUAACAGCUAAUCUUUGGGGCUGCUCUUUGGGUGAUAAAUUUCUAGGGAGUAGGUUUGAAUAACUAUAGAAUCUUGUUAGAGGUCCCGGCUUCCUAAAGCAUAGGAGACUUAUUUAUUUAUUUAUUUUAAUCUCUGUUAUCACUUGAAGCAAUCAUUUAAUAUUCUAUUAAACCUAAAGCUUUUGGUCUAUAGUUUGUAGUUGGUAUCAUUGACACUAGGGAAGUUAGAAAAUUCAGGAUAUUAUUUUCAAAGAGGUUAAAUCCCAUUUAAUUUUUCCUUUGGAACAUGUAAAAUGAUAUUAUUAGUCAUAGACCCAGGAGAGAAAGGAAUAUUAUUUUAUUAAACUUGAUAAAUAAAGUGUGUGUAGUUCUAAUUUGGAAAACUUCUCAAUUCAAACAUAAAAAAAAAAUCCAAGUACGAAGAAACAUACAAACAAAAUUCUACUCACACGAGCACCAUCUCUGCCAGGGUUACCAAUUUCACCUCUGAGACCAGGUUCACCCUGAAAGUAUAAAGCAAGAGCAACUUUUUGUUUUCUGACCAAAAUUUUGAAUCGAAAUUAAUAUGAAGUUUUUUUCUUUU